rnacentral:rRNA from 1 species
AGUCGUAACAAGGUUUCCGUAGGUGAACCUGCGGAAGGAUCAUUAAUAGAGCAAAGGACAGGCAGCGCCCCACAGAAGCUUGCUUCGUGGCGGGCUACCCUACUCUGGUAGGGUUUAGAGCCGGCGGACCACUCGGAGAAGUUCGGUCCUGAACUCCACCCUUGAAUAAAUUACCUUUGUUGCUUUGGCAGGCCGCCUAGUGCCAGCGGCUUCGGCUGUUGAGUGCCUGCCAGAGAACCACAAAUCUUGUUUUUAGUGAUGUCUGAGUACUAUAUAAUAGUUAAAACUUUCAACAACGGAUCUCUUGGUUCUGGCAUCGAUGAAGAACGCAGCGAAAUGCGAUAAGUAAUGUGAAUUGCAGAAUUCAGUGAAUCAUCGAAUCUUUGAACGCACAUUGCGCCCUCUGGUAUUCCGGGGGGCAUGCCUGUUCGAGCGUCAUUAUAACCACUCAAGCUCUCGCUUGGUAUUGGGGUUCGCGGUCUCGCGGCCCCUAAAAUCAGUGGCGGUGCCUGUCGGCUCUACGCGUAGUAAUACUCCUCGCGAUUGAGUCCGGUAGUUCUACUUGCCAGUAACCCCCAAACUUUUUAUAGGUUGACCUCGGAUCAGGUAGGGAUACCCGCUGAACUUAAGCAUAUCGAUAAGCGGAGGAAAAGAAACCAACAGGGAUUACCUCAGUAACGGCGAGUGAAGCGGUAACAGCUCAAAUUUGAAAGCUAGCUCUUUUAGGGUUCGCAUUGUAAUUUGUAGAAGAUGCUUCGGGUGUGGCCCCGGUCUAAGUUCCUUGGAACAGGACGUCAUAGAGGGUGAGAAUCCCGUAUGUGACUGGGUGCUUUCGCUCAUGUGAAGCUCUUUCGACGAGUCGAGUUGUUUGGGAAUGCAGCUCAAAAUGGGUGGUAAAUUUCAUCUAAAGCUAAAUAUUGGCCAGAGACCGAUAGCGCACAAGUAGAGUGAUCGAAAGAUGAAAAGCACUUUGGAAAGAGAGUUAAACAGUACGUGAAAUUGUUGAAAGGGAAGCGCUUGCAACCAGACUUGCGCGCUGAUGAUCAUCCGGGCUUCUGCCCGGUGCACUCGUCUGCGCUCAGGCCAGCAUCGGUUUCGGUGGUGGGAUAAAGGCCUUGGGAAUGUGGCUCCUCUCGGGGAGUGUUAUAGCCCUCGGUGCAAUGCCGCCUACUGGGACCGAGGACCGCGCUUCGGCUAGGAUGCUGGCGUAAUGGUUGUAAGCGACC